rnacentral:ncRNA from 1 species
ACACCGCCGCGCCGCUUCGGCGUUGCGGGCUGGUGGUCAGCCCGGCUGUCCUGCUUCGGCAAACACACUUCACGGUCCGGCAGAGCGGGGCGUAGCGGGCUUUGCCCGUCGAGACCCGCGGCCGGU